AAAACUUCCAGAUUGUUUUUGUUUGGCUCAUACUGUUGAAUGAUACUUCGGAUACUAUUUCUUCCUACAUCUUUGUGGUCUGUUAUCCCACAUGACCCAAACUUGGAACAGCAAGAAUAAAAAGCAAAGGCUAAUUUUGGUGGGUUUUUUUCAGGGUUCAGAUGGUAUCACAGGAACACUUGGAUUCCCAGGACCUAUUGGCCUCCCUGGUCCAAAGGGUGAGCAGGGAGAGUCUGUUGGCAUUCCUGGCAUUGCUGGAACAAAAGGAGAGCGAGGGGACCCAGGGUUCCCAGGAGAGAGAGGGAGAGAAGGACUCAAGGGUGAACCAGGCUACCCAGGAAACACUGGGGUGAAUGGACUCAAAGGCAGCCCGGGAGAUCUUGGCCAAGAAGGACCAGCAGGUACUGGACUAACCAUCUAAGUUCUGCAGUUCA
rnacentral:lncRNA from 1 species